rnacentral:rRNA from 1 species
UAGUCCACGCCGUAAACGAUGGAUACUAGUUGUUUGGUUUUCGGACUGAGUGACUAAGCGAAAGUGAUAAGUAUCCCACCUGGGGAGUACGGUCGCAAGAUUGAAACUCAAAGGAAUUGACGGGGGCCCGCACAAGCGGUGGAGCAUGCGGUUUAAUUCGAUGAUACGCGAGGAGCCUUACCUGGGCUCGAACGCUAUUUGCCAGUCUGUGAAAGCAGAUUUCUCUUCGGAGCGGAUAGUGAGGUGCUGCAUGGUUGUCGUCAGCUCGUGCCGUGAGGUGUUGGGUUAAGUCCCGCAACGAGCGCAACCCCUAAUUUCAGUUGCCAGCAAGUAAUGUUGGGGACUCUGGAAUGACUGCCGGCGUAAGCCGCGAGGAAGGGUGGGGACGACGUCAAAUCAUCAUGGGCCUUUAUGCCCAGGGGCUACACACGUGCUACAAUGGUGCAUACAGAGGGCAGCGAAGCCGCGAGGUGGAGCCAAUCCC